rnacentral:snRNA from 1 species
AAGACUAUACUUUCAGGCUCCAUUUCAAUAGUUUAAAUAGAAACUAGAGAAGUUUCUCAUAACGUGUAAAAC